CCCUUAGAUGUUCUGGGCCGCACGCGCGCUACACUGAUGAAUUCAACGAGCACUAACCUGUGCAGAAAUGUUCGGGUAAUCUUGUGAAAUUUCAUCGUGAUGGGGAUUGAUUAUUGCAAUUAUUAAUCAUAAACGAGGAAUGCCUAGUAAGCGUGAGUCAUCAGCUCACGUUGAUUACGUCCCUGCCCUUUGUACACACCGCCCGUCGCUCCUACCGAUUGAAUGUGCUGGUGAAAAGUUCGGAUUGGGAAUAGGAGACGGCAACGUAUCCUGUUUCUGAGAAAAUCUUUAAACCCUCCCAUUUAGAGGAAGGAGAAGUCGUANCA
rnacentral:rRNA from 1 species